AACGAACGCUGGCGGCAUGCCUAACACAUGCAAGUCGAACGAGACCUUCGGGUCUAGUGGCGCACGGGUGCGUAACGCGUGGGAACCUGCCUUUAGGUUCGGAAUAACUCAGAGAAAUUUGAGCUAACACCGGAUGAUGUCUUCGGACCAAAGAUUUAUCGCCUUUAGAUGGGCCCGCGUUGGAUUAGCUAGUUGGUGGGGUAAAGGCCUACCAAGGCGACGAUCCAUAGCUGGUCUGAGAGGAUGAUCAGCCACACUGGGACUGAGACACGGCCCAGACUCCUACGGGAGGCAGCAGUGGGGAAUAUUGGACAAUGGGCGAAAGCCUGAUCCAGCAAUGCCGCGUGAGUGAUGAAGGCCUUAGGGUUGUAAAGCUCUUUUACCCGAGAUGAUAAUGACAGUAUCGGGAGAAUAAGCUCCGGCUAACUCCGUG
rnacentral:rRNA from 1 species